rnacentral:rRNA from 1 species
GAAUCUUCCACAAUGGACGAAAGCCUGAUGGAGCAAUGCCGCGUGAGUGAAGAAGGUUUUCGGAGCGUAAAACUCUGUUGUGAGGGAAGAACAAGUACGAGAGUAACUGCUCGUACCUUGACGGUACCUCAUUAGAAAGCCACGGCUCACUACGUGCCAGCAGCCGCGGUAAUACGUAGGUGGCAAGCGUUGUCCGGAACUAUUGGGCGUCAAGCGCGCGCCGCCGGUCCCUUCAGUCUGAUGUGAAAUCCCACGGCUCAACCGUGGAAGGUCAUUGGAAACUGGGGGACUUGAGUACAGAAGAGGAAAGCGGAAUUCCAAGUGUAGCGGUGAAAUGCGUAGAGAUUUGGAGGAACACCAGUGGCGAAGGCGGCUUUCUGGUCUGUAACUGACGCUGAGGCGCGAAAGCGUGGGGAGCAAACA